rnacentral:lncRNA from 1 species
AUGGACUGGACACAAUCUAAUGCAACAUUUAACAUAAUGUCGGGUACCUCAAUGUCAUGCCCUCACUUAAGUGGCAUUGCAGGCUUGCUAAAGAGCUCACACGAGUCACACCCUGACUGGUCACCAGCUGCAAUCAAAUCUGCCAUCAUGACAAGUGCCAAUGUACUGAACCUCGCAGGCAUGCCCAUUGUUGAUCAAAUGCUUAAUCGCGCAGACGUAUUUGCAAUUGGUGCAGGCCAUGUUAACCCUUCGAAAGCAAAUAACCCAGGGCUCAUCUACAACACAUAAUCAGAGGAUUACAUUCCUUAUUUGUGUGGUUUGAAUUACACAGACAAAUAGAUACAGAUCAUCACCCAAAAAACAGUGAACUGCUCUCAAGUUGGGGUCAUACCAGAAGCACAACUAAACUAUCCUUCAUUUUGUAUUACAACAGGAUCCAAUGAGACUGAAUCUCAGUAUUAUACAAGGACAGUGAGGAACAUUGGCCCGGCUAGUUCAACUUACAACUUGGAUCUUCUUGUACCACAUAAAAUGGGCAUGAGUGUGAAACCUGAGGUGCUUACAUUCACAGAGGUCAACCAGGAGAUUACGUACCAUGUGGAGUUUAUUGCAGAAGAUGGUGCUGGCAAGGAUGGUGUAGCAUUUGGUCAGGGGUAUUUGAGAUGGGUUUCUGAUAAGCAUAAUGUUACUAGCCCAAUAUCUGUGAUCUUUGACAAUCAUUCAAUCUUAAUGUAG